UGGGUGGCGACUGCUGCCCCCGCGACCCGGUAACGGAUAAGCGGAUGAAAAUGGAUGGAUGGAUGGAUUAACCAAAUUGUAUUGUGUGACAAUAAAUUGUCAAUGUUUAACUUCAUGUUCUCUUUUUGAAUAUUUUAGGGAUCCAGCUCUCCGAACCUAGGGAGAGAGUAAGACUUCUUGGGAAGGGUACAGUGAGGAAACCUCAGCACAUGCUGAGCGCGCACACACACACACACACACACACACACACAUACACCCACUGUACACACUUCAGCACAUUUGCACAUGAAGGAGAAGCGAUGGAGAUGAUUUUAUGUCAUGCGUGGGUGCAUUUGUGCUUCGACUUUAAACUGGUUAAAGGGCCCAGAGGCUUUAGAUUGCGUUAAAUGUGCGACUCAGCGUUCUUGUAACUAUUUCAGGACACCUGUUUCACAGAGUAGGACACAGCUUGGCCCUGGACGACUGACGGGUAGACUGACGCCCACAACAUCCUAGUGCCAGGGACUGUUUAAAGCCUGCUGCAUUGAAGGUAGGCCAGUUGUACUCUAAAGUCUCGUACUCCAGUUGUUUUAGUCCCAAUACUUUACUCUGAAGCCCGUCAUAGUCCACUGGGGUUGAAAAGUUUGCCUACACGUCUAGAAAAGCCUGGUGAAAAGUUCAGUAAUUUUCCCUUAUUUUAAACAAUCUGCACUCUUAACAUUAGAUGUCACCAAAGUCAUAUUAGUGUAAUUUGGAGCAUCUUCGUCGCCUCCUGGUGGAUUAGUUAUCAUUCAUCCACUGACUGUGGGUAGAACAGAACAGGUUAGUCCAGAUAGAACAGUGAACUGAGUGUAGAAUACUAAGGGACAAGUGCUCUGUUAGCCUGACGUGUACUGCCAUAUGUAUGGAAGUAUUACUUCAGUGUGUAGUUUAUACUGUCUUUUACUGUUUGUUUUUUCUAGCUUCUGUUUAAAAUAUAAUAUAUAAAUAAAAAGAAACACAAAACAGAAAAAGAAAGUAGCUUCUCAGCUGUACUGUUUCAUGUUUCCAUGCCAUUACCUAGUAGUUGUACUUCUGACCUUUUUCUUAAAAAAGAAAAAAAGUAAUUAUUUUAUUGCGUUUUUAAUUGGAGCAGAUGAAAACAGAAGUGCCUAAAACAGAACCAUUCAGAAUUCCUGUGAGUAUUUCAGUUCAUCAGGUGACGACAGCAAAGAAAAAAACAGUAGUAGUUUGGUGUCAGUUAAAUCUAAUGAGAUGUGCUGUUAUUGAAUAUUGAAUUGAAUAAAGCAGGCCAAUUGCAGCCCUUACACAGAUGUUACAUAUGUACAAUUGUUUAUGAGUAAUUGAAUGUAACGUGUGUGUCUAAAGUCUGGCUGUGGGGCCAAAUUGUGUCCCUUGCAAAGAUCUUACAUGACCCCAUCACCUUAUGUGUAUCUGUAAUCCUCUUGUCAGGGCUGUCUGUUUCCCCUUCCUGUCCUGUCUGCUGGGUGGAAUUGAGUGUGAUCACACUCACCUGUGUCUCUGUCAUCAGUCUUACUCGUGUCACCUGGGUAUAUAUACCUCUCUCCCUAACUCUGUCUUGGUGAGAUCAUUGUUCUGUUCAGUUUGAGUGAGUCAGUCCAUGUGUUUGAAGAAGUCCAUGUUUGUGGAGAAGACCAUGACCUGUAGUUGAUGCUUUUGUUCCUAGUGAGGAGCAACGAAAGCGCGUCACCGUUGGAGGCUGGAGGGCCGAGCUGUGAGAGCAUGUGGUAACCAGUGGACUCCCCCGGUCGGCGUUCUCUGUUGGAGGCCUGGAACACCAGAAGCGACACACCCAGAAGAGAGUCAAAUCAAACAUCAUUAUUCCCUGGUCAUGGAAAUCAGUUGAGCCUGCUGGUUUCCCAGACAAAACCCAAGGACAGCCUCAUACGGACAUCCUCACACAUCCAAUACCUGUCACUACAGAACACCACCUGUCGAUUACACUCCCCGAAUGUACAUUCUCCUCUGUCCCUGAGCCCUCUGCUGUUUCCUUCCUACUCAAACCCGUCUUUGAUUUCUAAAGUCAGAAGCCUGAGACAUGGAUUUCCUGUCUGUUUUACUCUGAAUAUUGGCAGGAGCUUGGAGUGGGAAAAAAAAAACAGGCGAGGAAAGAAGCUAGGUUUGUUGAUUUGCCAUCCUGGUGCCGGCAGCUUGCCACAGAAGCUAUUCUGGGUUUUUGUUUUGGGUGGCAGUGAUGAAGAUAGGGUUGAGGAGGAGGAGGGAUUUUAGCAUGGAGCUGCAAAAUGAGAAAUUAAGCGGUUUUCCCCAAAACAUGGCAACUCAUCGGAGUGGCAUGUAUUAGUUAAGGCUGUUAUUCUAAUCUGCACCUUCUAUUCUUCACUGCCUGAUUAUGGAGCAGAGGUGCCAAUCCUGUCUUACAGCUCAACUUGUUGACGGAAGCCGACACAGAUCUGACAGAGCUGAAGGCUCCGACACCCUUCAGAUGUAAGAACUGAAAUCCAAUCGGUGAGCAUGUUUGACCGUGGCCUAUGAAAAAUGAGACGAUGAGCUGAAUGAUGUCCAAACACAGCAGGAUUCAUUGAUGAAUUCAUGUGAAUGGAAAUAUGAUAAUCAGACUGGCUCACUUCUAUGUUCUCUUAUCACCAAUAUUACAUUUAGAGCUGGUUAAAAUAAUUUGACUCGGUUUCCCUGUCUUCAGCUGAUCACCACUUGUCCUUGAUCCCUGUCCUUAAAUGGAGAGCCAGCAUAACAAAGCCACAAUAACCACUUAUUGAAAAUCAUAUUUCAGGGUGGCGCUUAAUGGAGCGUGAAGUGGGGACACAUGUGAGAAGGCACUCAGAAAAUGACCUGCUAAUAUCCAUGACACAUUAACAGGAGCAUAUACAAGUAAAGAAAAGGGCCACAAUUCAUCCACUUCAUCCUAAUCUGCUUAAAUGGCUUUUCAAUCACACUUUUUAAGUGCUUCUCUUUUUCCACAGACAGAACAAAAUGCUGUGCAGUGUGAAAAGUGCUGUCUGUAAAUCAAUAACAAUAAUAUGACAAUAUCACUUUAUCACAAAAGCAGUUUUAAAAGUAGGCAACUGGACUCACCUAAAGUAAAUUGAAAACGUUUUGCCUCUCAUCCAAGAGGCUUCAUCAGUUCUACUGUCCUGGUGGGGAAUUUCAGGUAUUUAUCUAUCCACUCCACUUUUGACAAUGCACUACUGGAAUUCACUUGUUCUUGGAAUCUUUAACUUACCUUAAAAACUGCGACUUUUUGAAGAAGUUUAAAACUAUAAUAACAAUUUUAGCAUGCCCAGUUAUUCAUAAGUCACUGCAACAGAUUUUAACUGGAGAAAAUGGCAAAAGUUGAAUCCAAAAAAACAACAGAAAGAUUUGUGCUAAGUACUUUAUUAACUCCACACACUGCAGAGGGGGUCCACCAACGUAGACAGUAGAAUUGCGCUAUCAAUUUAUAAGUGAGCAGUUGUGCCUAAUGAUUUGGCCAGUGAAGUUGCUUAUCAAACUAUUUGGUAUUUGGACUACUAAUAAAACACUGUUUAAUUAUUUGGACAGUGACAAAUUAUGAAAUUAUUAAAA